CCUACGGGCGGCUGCAGUGAGGAAUAUUGGUCAAUGGGCGCGAGCCUGAACCAGCCAAGUAGCGUGAAGGAUGACUGCCCUACGGGUUGUAAACUUCUUUUAUAAAGGAAUAAAGUGAGGCAAGUGUGCCUUUUUGUAUGUACUUUAUGAAUAAGGAUCGGCUAACUCCGUUCCAGCAGCCGCGGUAAUACGGAGGAUCCGAUCGUUAUCCGGAUUUAGUGGGUUUAAAGGGAGCGUAGAUGGGUUGUUAAGUCAGUAGUGAAAGUUUGCGGUUCAACCGUAAAAUUGCAAUUGAUACUGGCAGGCUUGAGUACAGUUGAGGUAAGCGGAAUUCGUGGUGUAGCGGUGAAAUGCGUAGAUAUCACGAAGAACUCCGAUGGCGAAGGCAGCUUACUAGACUGCCACUGACGUUGAUGCUCGAAAGUGUGGGUAGCAAACAGGAUUAGAUACCCGAGUAGUC
rnacentral:rRNA from 1 species